CCUACGGGUUGCAGCAGUGAGGAAUAUUGGUCAAUGGGCGCGAGCCUGAACCAGCAAAGUAGCGUGAAGGAUGACUGCCCUACGGGUUGUAAACUUCUUGUAUAAAGGAAUAAGAUGAGGCACGAGUGCCUUAUUGUAUGUACUUUAUGAAUAAGGAUCGGCUAAAUCCGUGCCAGCAGCAGGGGGAAUACGGAGGAUCCGAGCGUUAUCAGGAUUUAUUGGGUUUAAAGGGAGCGGAGAGGGGUUUUUAAGUAAGUUGGGAAAGUGUGCGGGUCAACCGUAAAGUUGAAAUGGAUACUGGCAGUCUUGAGUACAGUUGAGGUAGGCGGAAUUCGUGGUGUAGCGGUGAAAUGCGUAGAUAGCAGGAAGAACACCGAUUGCGAAGGCAGCUUACUAAACUGCCACUGACAUUGAUGCUCGAAAGUGUGGGUAUCAAACAGGAUUAGAUACCCUGGUAGUC
rnacentral:rRNA from 1 species